GCGAGGAUGGUGGAAUCCGGUAGACACGCUGGUCUCAGAAGCCAGAGCCGAGAGGUGUGGGGGUUCAAGUCCCCCUUCUCGCACCA
rnacentral:tRNA from 1 species